UAUGAUAUGAGGGUAGGUUAGUGUUAUGAUAUGAGGGUAGGUUAGUGUUAUGAUAUGAGGGUAGGUUAGUGUUAGACAUGUCUGUAUGUAGUGUUAUGAUAUGAGGGUAGGUUAGUGGUAGACAUGUAUGUAUGUUGUGUUAUGAUAUGAGGGUAGGUUAGUGUUAUGAUAUGAGGGUAGGUUAGUGGUAGACAUGACUGUAUGUAGUGUUAUGAUAUGAGGGUAGGUUAGUGUUAUGAUAUGAGGGUAGGUUAGUGUUAUGAUAUGAGGGUAGGUUAGUGGUAGACAUGUCUGUAUGUAGUGUUAUGAUAUGAGGGUAGGUUAGUGUUAGACACGUCUGUAUGUAGUGUUAUGAUAUGAGGGUAGGUUAGUGGUAGACAUGUCUGUAUGUAGUGUUAUGAUAUGAGGGUAGGUUAGUGGUAGACAUGUCUGUAUGUAGUGUUAUGAUAUGAGGGUAGGUUAGUGGUAGACAUGUCUGUAUGUAGUGUUAUGAUAUGAGGGUAGGUUAGUGGUAGGCAUGUCUGUAUGUAGUGUUAUGAUAUGAGGGUAGGUUAGUGGUAGACAUGUCUGUAUGUAGUGUUAUGAUAUGAGGGUAGGUUAGUGGUAGACAUGUCUGUAUGUAGUGUUAUGAUAUGAGGGUAGGUUAGUGUUAUGAUAUGAGGGUAGGUUAGUGUUAAACCAGACUGUAUGUAGUGUUAUGAUAUGAAGGUAGGUUAGUGGUAGACAUGUCUGUAUGUAGUGUUAUGAUAUGAGGGUAGGUUAGUGGUAGACAUGUCUGUAUGUAGUGUUAUGAUAUGAGGGUAGGUUAGUGGUAGACAUGUCUGUAUGUAGUGUUAUGAUAUGAUGGUAGGUUAGUGGUAGACAUUUCUGUAUGUAGUGUUAUGAUAUGAGGGUAGGUUAGUGUUAUGAUAUGAGGGUAGGUUAGUGUUAGACAUGUCUGUAUGUAGUGUUAUGAUAUGAGGGUAGGUUAGUGGUAGACAUGACUGUAUGUAGUGUUAUGAUAUGAAGGUAGGUUAGUGGUAGACAUGUCUGUAUGUAGUGUUAUGAUAUGAGGGUAGGUUAGUGUUAUGAUAUGACGGUAGGUUAGUGUUAUGAUAUGAGGGUAGGUUAGUGUUAGACAUGUCUGUAUGUAGUGUUAUGAUAUGUGGGUAGGUUGGUGGUAGACAUGUAUGUAUGUAGUGUUAUGAUAUGAGGGUAGGUUAGUGGUUACUUUAUCCUAUCCCAGGUAUUCCUUAAAGAGGUGGGGUUUCAGGUGUCUCCGGAAGGUGGUGAUUGACUCCGCUGUCCAGGCGUCGUGAGGGAGCUUGUUCCACCAUUGGGGUGCCAGAGCAGCGAACAGUUUUGACUGGGCUGAGCGGGAACUGUGCUUCCUCAGAGGUAGGGAGGCG
rnacentral:lncRNA from 1 species